CCUGAGUUUCAAAACCAUAUCACCCAAGCACUGAAGCUUUAAUUCCAGGAAAAUGAUACAAAAAGAUCUCACCAAUCUGAUCUGGCAGGCCCAUAAAAGUGUUAUACGUGGCACAAUUAUUCAUCUUGCUUCUCAGAAAAAGAAGACAACCCUACAGGAGAUGACGAAUCUAUCCAAAUUAAUCUCAAACCUUGAAUAUCAACAUAAACGAACGCAACUGAUGGCUGUCUCUGGGGAACUCAUGCAGGCCCGACAAUAACUGAAGGAACUCCUCACACGUAGGUAUCUUCGCUCUUUCCAACAUUCACAAGACUUCUUCUACGCAUUGCAAUAAGGGAUGCAAAUUCCUGGCUCGACUAUUAAAGGGCAACACCCC